GGUAUAACGUUUACUUUAAUAUCGAAUUUAUGUAUAUAAAGGACACAUUGAUGUUUUAGUGUUAGUAUUGUGAGAGCAGUCGAACAAGAUGAAAGGGUUUGUGCUAUUCCUGGUUGUCGUGCUUCUUGCGUACACGUACGCCGCCCCACAAGCAAACAACUAUGGUAAGGUGCACGCUGCAGGUGACUCUUCAGCUACUGGCGUUGUUUCUGACUCAACUUUCGGUGACGGUGCAUUCGGUAAAGGCCAUGGUGAAAAAAGGUGCGGUAUUGUCCAACAGCUUGUUACAGUAUUUUGGAAUGUUUGUUAAUGC